UCUUGAUAUAUUCCAUAUCUUCUUUUCAAGCUGUAACUUAUGGUGGCCUACUGGGUUAGAUGCAACUUUGCAUGAAACAAGAGUAUUCCUUAAAGUCCUAAAGUGGUUUAACCAGUUGGUUAUUUGGAGCUAUCUUCCAAAUCGGUCAAUCAGUUUUGUUUAUUAGCAAGUAUUGCUAAUCAUCUCCCCAAGAUGGUUCAAUAUGUCUGAUGUUAAGAGUGUUGGCGCUUUUUGGAGGAAGUGGUCCAAUGGGAGUGGAGCACUAGAGAGAUCCUGUUGUUUUUUUUAACCUGUAAGCAGUGUAGCAGAUAUGUACUCAAAUUAUGUAAGCAGUGUAGCAGAUAUGUACUCGAAUUUCAUAAACAGUGUAGCAGAUAUGUACUCGAUAUAAUGAGCAUGUAGACACACACGUUUGGUAGUCAGGGUAUUGUGGUCAUUUCCAUGUUUUAAUUAAUUGUGGACCUUCAGAUA